rnacentral:sRNA from 1 species
CGCUAGCCCCGAUGGAAAUGGCAUCCUUUUUCUGGCUUCUUUAGCCGGGAAAAGAUAUAAUGGACAGCGGGAACGUUA